GGGGAGAUAGCUUAGUCAGGAUAGAGCAAGGGUGGCCACAUUAACAUGAUCCUAAGGCGAGGGUUCGAAUCCCUCUCUCUCCA
rnacentral:tRNA from 1 species